rnacentral:rRNA from 1 species
UGGGCAAUCUGCCCUUCACUCUGGGACAAGCCCUGGAAACGGGGUCUAAUACCGGAUAUUACUCCUGCCUGCAUGGGCGGGGGUUGAAAGCUCCGGCGGUGAAGGAUGAGCCCGCGGCCUAUCAGCUUGUUGGUGGGGUAAUGGCCCACCAAGGCGACGACGGGUAGCCGGCCUGAGAGGGCGACCGGCCACACUGGGACUGAGACACGGCCCAGACUCCGUACGGGAGGCAG